AGGGCGCACGGUGGAUGCCUUGGCACUAGAAGCCGAUGAAGGACGUUACUAACGACGAUAUGCUUUGGGGAGCUGUAAGUAAGCUUUGAUCCAGAGAUUUCCGAAUGGGGAAACCCAGCAUGAGUUAUGUCAUGUUAUCGAUAUGUGAAUACAUAGCAUAUCAGAAGGCACACCCGGAGAACUGAAACAUCUUAGUACCCGGAGGAAGAGAAAGAAAAUUCGAUUCCCUUAGUAGCGGCGAGCGAAACGGGAAGAGCCCAAACCAACAAGCUUGCUUGUUGGGGUUGUAGGACACUCUAUACGGAGUUACAAAGGACGACAUUAGACGAAUCAUCUGGAAAGAUGAAUCAAAGAAGGUAAUAAUCCUGUAGUCGAAAAUGUUGUCUCUCUUGAGUGGAUCCUGAGUACGACGGAGCACGUGAAAUUCCGUCGGAAUCUGGGAGGACCAUCUCCUAAGGCUAAAUACUCUCUAGUGACCGAUAGUGAACCAGUACCGUGAGGGAAAGGUGAAAAGCACCCCGGAAGGGGAGUGAAAUAGAACCUGAAACCGUGUGCUUACAAGUAGUCAGAGCCCGUUAAUGGGUGAUGGCGUGCCUUUUGUAGAAUGAACCGGCGAGUUACGAUUUGAUGCAAGGUUAAGCAGUAAAUGUGGAGCCGUAGCGAAAGCGAGUCUGAAUAGGGCGUUUAGUAUUUGGUCGUAGACCCGAAACCAGGUGAUCUACCCUUGGUCAGGUUGAAGUUCAGGUAACACUGAAUGGAGGACCGAACCGACUUACGUUGAAAAGUGAGCGGAUGAACUGAGGGUAGCGGAGAAAUUCCAAUCGAACCUGGAGAUAGCUGGUUCUCUCCGAAAUAGCUUUAGGGCUAGCCUCAAGUGAUGAUUAUUGGAGGUAGAGCACUGUUUGGACGAGGGGCCCCUCUCGGGUUACCGAAUUCAGACAAACUCCGAAUGCCAAUUAAUUUAACUUGGGAGUCAGAACAUGGGUGAUAAGGUCCGUGUUCGAAAGGGAAACAGCCCAGACCACCAGCUAAGGUCCCAAAAUAUAUGUUAAGUGGAAAAGGAUGUGGCGUUGCCCAGACAACUAGGAUGUUGGCUUAGAAGCAGCCAUCAUUUAAAGAGUGCGUAAUAGCUCACUAGUCGAGUGACACUGCGCCGAAAAUGUACCGGGGCUAAACAUAUUACCGAAGCUGUGGAUUGUCCUUUGGACAAUGGUAGGAGAGCGUUCUAAGGGCGUUGAAGCAUGAUCGUAAGGACAUGUGGAGCGCUUAGAAGUGAGAAUGCCGGUGUGAGUAGCGAAAGACGGGUGAGAAUCCCGUCCACCGAUUGACUAAGGUUUCCAGAGGAAGGCUCGUCCGCUCUGGGUUAGUCGGGUCCUAAGCUGAGGCCGACAGGCGUAGGCGAUGGAUAACAGGUUGAUAUUCCUGUACCACCUAUAAUCGUUUUAAUCGAUGGGGGGACGCAGUAGGAUAGGCGAAGCGUGCGAUUGGAUUGCACGUCUAAGCAGUAAGGCUGAGUAUUAGGCAAAUCCGGUACUCGUUAAGGCUGAGCUGUGAUGGGGAGAAGACAUUGUGUCUUCGAGUCGUUGAUUUCACACUGCCGAGAAAAGCCUCUAGAUAGAAAAUAGGUGCCCGUACCGCAAACCGACACAGGUAGUCAAGAUGAGAAUUCUAAGGUGAGCGAGCGAACUCUCGUUAAGGAACUCGGCAAAAUGACCCCGUAACUUCGGGAGAAGGGGUGCUCUUUAGGGUUAACGCCCAGAAGAGCCGCAGUGAAUAGGCCCAAGCGACUGUUUAUCAAAAACACAGGUCUCUGCUAAACCGUAAGGUGAUGUAUAGGGGCUGACGCCUGCCCGGUGCUGGAAGGUUAAGAGGAGUGGUUAGCUUCUGCGAAGCUACGAAUCGAAGCCCCAGUAAACGGCGGCCGUAACUAUAACGGUCCUAAGGUAGCGAAAUUCCUUGUCGGGUAAGUUCCGACCCGCACGAAAGGCGUAACGAUUUGGGCACUGUCUCAACGAGAGACUCGGUGAAAUCAUAGUACCUGUGAAGAUGCAGGUUACCCGCGACAGGACGGAAAGACCCCGUGGAGCUUUACUGUAGCCUGAUAUUGAAAUUCGGCACAGCUUGUACAGGAUAGGUAGGAGCCUUUGAAACGUGAGCGCUAGCUUACGUGGAGGCGCUGGUGGGAUACUACCCUAGCUGUGUUGGCUUUCUAACCCGCACCACUUAUCGUGGUGGGAGACAGUGUCAGGCGGGCAGUUUGACUGGGGCGGUCGCCUCCUAAAAGGUAACGGAGGCGCUCAAAGGUUCCCUCAGAAUGGUUGGAAAUCAUUCAUAGAGUGUAAAGGCAUAAGGGAGCUUGACUGCGAGACCUACAAGUCGAGCAGGGUCGAAAGACGGACUUAGUGAUCCGGUGGUUCCGCAUGGAAGGGCCAUCGCUCAACGGAUAAAAGCUACCCCGGGGAUAACAGGCUUAUCUCCCCCAAGAGUUCACAUCGACGGGGAGGUUUGGCACCUCGAUGUCGGCUCAUCGCAUCCUGGGGCUGUAGUCGGUCCCAAGGGUUGGGCUGUUCGCCCAUUAAAGCGGUACGCGAGCUGGGUUCAGAACGUCGUGAGACAGUUCGGUCCCUAUCCGUCGUGGGCGUAGGAAAUUUGAGAGGAGCUGUCCUUAGUACGAGAGGACCGGGAUGGACAUACCUCUGGUGUACCAGUUGUCGUGCCAACGGCAUAGCUGGGUAGCUAUGUGUGGACGGGAUAAGUGCUGAAAGCAUCUAAGCAUGAAGCCCCCUCAAGAUGAGAUUUCCCAACUUCGGUUAU
rnacentral:rRNA from 1 species